rnacentral:rRNA from 1 species
UACGAAGGGGGGCUAGCGUUGUUCGGAAUUACUGGGCGUAAAGCGCACGCAGGCGGAUUGAUAAGUCAGGGGUGAAAUCCCGGGGCUCAACCUCGGAAUUGCCUUUGAUACUGUCUGUCUUCGAGUUCGGGAGAGGUUGGCGGAAUUCCUAGUGUAGAGGUGAAAUUCGUAGAUAUUAGGAAGAACACCAGUGGCGAAGGCGGCCAACUGGCCCGAAACUGACGCUCAUGUGCGAAAGCGUGGGGA